GCGGGUGUCGUACAGUGGCAGUACGUCGGUCUCCAAAACCGAUAACGUGGGUUCGAUUCCUACCACCCGUGCUA
rnacentral:tRNA from 1 species